AGAGCCUGCCAACGGAGCUGUACGACGAUGAACCAGGGGAGAGCAAAACCGAUGGAGACAGAUCAUCUGUCGGAACCGUUUCCUGCGUCUGCGAAGGGUUCCUGUUCCAGCGAUUCGAGACGGAUCGGUCUUUCGUCGAUUUCGUGGUGGAGACACCUUUUCAGUGUGGGAGUUUGCAAAAAGGAUUGACCAGGAUCGGCCACGAAGUGUUUGCCAGGAAUCGAAAGGCCAGAGGAGAACAGUGGUGGCAACCAGAAAGUGGCCAAUGAGAUCCUUGAGCUGGCUGUGAAAAUCAGGGCGAAGCGUUCGAACAUCUGUUUUUGUGCUAAUCGGAGCCGGCCGGAAUCUCUCAGAGCUAAAGCCGUCGACCUGCUACAUGGUGUUGAGGACGGCAUGAUUGAGAGACUGGCCGUGAACAACUACAACGCAUAGGGGCGCGUUUCCCAGCUCGGAGGACAGCAUCGACUGCAGCCGGCACAGGCUCCCGUUGUUCCGGAGACCGUCGCAGUUGCGUCCAACAGCGGCGGUGAAUCCUGCUUGAGCUAAAUGCAUAAAUAAAUCUUAAGGUAAAGUGAAAUAAACAGUGUCAACAGAAAAA
rnacentral:lncRNA from 1 species